CUGAGGAGCAACGUGUAAUCGUUUUUAAUAAGUAAGGAUGAAAAUAAAGCGGUAAUUAUAAAAAGUGAGCGUAAAUAAGUACUUGUGAAGAACAAGGCUUCUGUGAAUUACACUAUGUGUUCCUGAGAGUGGAAGGCAUAUCGAGCGGUCCAACAAGUUCCGUUAAGUCGAUAAUGCUACAUGUUUAUAGUAGUGAUUUUUAAAUAAAACGUGUGACAGCGAUAUAUGGGAAACAAAUUUUUCCAAACAAGAAAAACACCUCUCUCCAAUAUGUUGUCUACUGCAUCUAUCGCUUAUACGUGUGUAAUCAACAGGAAACUGAGUAACUGACCAAAGCCAUUGUUGGUCUGGAUACUGAAGAGUAGUUUGAAGUGAAAAUCGAAUUCUUACGGAUGUUUCUGUGACUUUUUCGAAUCGAAUUUCUCCGUGAAGACCGCCAGAAGAAAUAUAUGCGGCAAGACGCAGUGACAAGCCAAUGACCAUACUACGACAAGCUGUUACCUUACAAUGAAAACCAGUCAAGGCAAGGUUGUCUGUACUUUCUUAUUUCUCCGAGCGGUUGUGGUGGGAGUGUUGUGUGGUCGUGAAUAAGAAAAAUG